GAUGAACGCUGGCGGCGUGCCUAAUACAUGCAAGUCGAACGAAAAGAGGAGCUUGCUUCUCUUUUAGUGGCGAACGGGUGAGUAAUACAUAAGCAACCUACCUAUUCGACCGGGAUAACAGUUGGAAACGACUGCUAAUACCGGAUAGGUGUGCGGGGGACAUCCCCUGCACAUUAAAGCUGGGACACAGCACGAAUGGAUGGGCUUAUGGCGCAUUAGUUAGUUGGCGGGGUAACGGCCCACCAAGACGAUGAUGCGUAGCCGACCUGAGAGGGUGACCGGCCACACUGGGACUGAGACACGGCCCAGACUCCUACGGGAGGCAGCAGUAGGGAAUUUUCGGCAAUGGGCGCAAGCCUGACCGAGCAACGCCGCGUGAGUGAAGAAGGCCUUCGGGUUGUAAAGCUCUGUUGUAAGGGAAGAAUGGCCAAGAGAGGGAAUGCUCUUGGAGUGACGGUACCUUACCAGAAAGCCACGGCUAACUACGUGCCAGCAGCCGCCGUAACAC
rnacentral:rRNA from 1 species